rnacentral:misc_RNA from 1 species
UCGCAAACCAUUCCGACCCACAA